rnacentral:rRNA from 1 species
GACGAACGCUGGCGGCGUGCCUAAUACAUGCAAGUAGAACGCUGAAGGAGGAGCUUGCUCUUCUGGAUGAGUUGCGAACGGGUGAGUAACGCGUAGGUAACCUGCCUGGUAGCGGGGGAUAACUAUUGGAAACGAUAGCUAAUACCGCAUAAGAGUAGAUGUUGCAUGACAUUUACUUAAAAGGUGCAAUUGCAUCACUACCAGAUGGACCUGCGUUGUAUUAGCUAGUUGGUGGGGUAACGGCUUACCAAGGCGACGAUACAUAGCCGACCUGAGAGGGGGAUCGGCCACACGGGGACUGAGACCCGGCCCAGACUCCUACGGGAGGCCGCGGUAGGGAAUCUUCGGCAAUGGACGGAAUUCUGCCCGGCCAACGCCGCGUGAGUGAAGAAGGUUUUCGGAUCGUAAAGCUUUGUUGUAAGGGAAGAACGGGUGUGGGAGUGGAAAGUUCCCCCUGUGGCGGUUUUUUCCCAAAAAGGGCCGGCUAACUCCGU